UACGUAGGGUGCAAGCGUUAAUCGGAAUUACUGGGCGUAAAGCGCACGUAGGCGGUUUUUUAAGUCAGAUGUGAAAGCCCCGGGCUCAACCUGGGAAUUGCAUUUGAAACUGGGAAACUAGAGUGUGUGAGAGGGGGGUAGAAUUCCAAGUGUAGCGGUGAAAUGCGUAGAGAUUUGGAGGAACACCAGUGGCGAAGGCGGCCCCCUGGCACAACACUGACGCUCAGGUGCGAAAGCGUGGGGAGCAAACAGG
rnacentral:rRNA from 1 species